UUGUAAUACAUAAUUUUAAAACCAGAUGAUUCAUCAUCCUUUUAAUUUCAAAAUUGUUUUGAAUUGUGAUUAGGCGGAGUCCGGGCUGUAACAAGAUGCAAUAAUUGGGGGGGGGGAGGGUGCAUAAUUGGGGGGGGGGUGCAUAUUGAUAUGUUAACAUACCAUACCAUAAAAGCAAUCAAUUUCAAAAGAAGUCUUAUUCGUCUGGCAGAACACAUAUAUAUAUAUGAACAUGCAACCCCCCCAAAAAAAUUAUCGUGUCUUGUUAUGGCACUGCGAGGAGUAAUGGAAAAGUGAAGGGGUAGUUCAUGGCCACUAAAUGUUUUAAGAUGACCUAAUGAAGGUAGUAUAUUAAAAAUCAAACCUAACAAGAAUGAGCUGAAAAAAUAUGACUUGUCCACUCACAUCAGGCACAUGAAAACUUACAUGUAUUUUUUUAUUCAUUUAGCUUUGCCAACUAGGGUAGGGUCACCACAACAGCAUAUGCCAAUUACUGUGGGCCCUUUUUACCUAACGCACCCUGUCAACUUUCCCUGUGGGAGGAAACUGGAGUACCCGGGAAACCCACAACUUUCAGCAGAGCGUUGACUUUUGCUCUUUUCACAUAUAUGAGGACUCGGUUCGAGUCGCAUUGAGAAGUUUCUCACUGAGGCUUGAACCUGCGGCCUCAGAGGUGAAAGGCAAGUGCGCUUAUGAGCUAGACCAGAGUCUAUCAAGACUAGAGUCUAUUGGUCUACCUGAACUAGACCAGAG